rnacentral:rRNA from 1 species
UACGGAGGGUGCAAACGUUGCUCGGAAUCAUUGGGCGUAAAGCGCACGUAGGCGGACUGUUAAGUCGGAUGUGAAAGCCCUCGGCUUAACCGAGGAAGUGCAUUCGAAACUGGCAGUCUUGAGUACAGAAGAGGGUCGCGGAAUUCCCGGUGUAGAGGUGAAAUUCGUAGAUAUUCGGAGGAACACCAGUGGCGAAGGCGGCUCACUGGCUCGACACUGACGCUGGAGGCGCGAAAGCGUGGGUAGCAAACAGG